ACGAUCGUACUCCUCUUUUGACGACUGUUUCAUGCUCGGCGUAAGAAAGAUGAUAUCGACUCACACGGGAGAAAGCGCGAGAGUGAUUGAAAGAACCAGAAAGAGACGGGUGUGUGGUGUUUCCGACGACUUACUGCUGCAAACCGAUCACUACCUUGUGCCGCAACUGUAUGUCGUCACAACACGGAAUGUUGCUGCCCAAACUAGUCUACUUUAUCCUUGAAAUAUCAACACAUGUGGUAUCGAAUUGUUGCUGCCAUUGGUCCUAUUCUAAACAUCCCCAAUUAUGAGUUAAUAGUUCAUGCAUAUCUAAACCCUAUGGUGCCUCAGUAUUGCUGUUGCAACAUCCAUAUUUUGACUUUGAAAAAGAAAAACGAUGCAUACAUGUUGGCGGUGAUAUACUAGUUAAUUAAUCUUAAUUGUAAAAAAUAGGAAAAAGAAACAGUAAGAGUAAACCUAUGGGAGUGUUUACGAUUUAUUCUUCUGUAUGUUAUCAUAACAUGAAGCUUAAUGGACAUAAAAUUACUGAUGGCUUUAUGCCUUUAUAAUUGUUUUGGAAUAAAAUAUACGUAAAACAAAUACAUCACAUUGUCCAUAACAUUUAAAUAGUUUGAAAGCCAAUAAACAAAUUAAAUAAUAGAUAUGAUAUUGUCUUAAUAGUAUAAUUCAAUCCUUUUGUGUGUAAAAUUGGAUGACUAUAAUCAUUUACCUAAAGUCUCGAAUCAUAUGGUGAUUUUUGGUGAAUAUUGGAAUUUUGCACAGCAACUUUUCCCCAUCUGUUAAUUCGGGCAGAAUUGGAAGACGCUCCUCUCUCAUGAAGUUCUAGGAAAUCAAAUCUAGUUUCCAGAAUGUCUGAUGUCACCCCAAUUGGAGCUGUAGAUUAGGUUUUAUAACUAAAACACUGAGCGGGGUCGGGCAGGGAAGAUAUAAAAAUUAAUAUAAAAGUUAGAAUAAAGUUGUAUUUUUGAAACAUAUACUUUAUUUGUUAAUUGAAUGUUAUGUGUGGUGUUUAGGUGGAUCCUUGAGAACUUCAAGUAAGUUCAAGACUUGGAAUGGAAGGAAGAUUUCAUCAAGGCUAAAGGUAUUUUAGAAGAUUGGCCUUGGUGAGAGGGGUUCUUAUGGGUAGUAGAUUUAUAUUAACGAUACCACUCUUGGACACGUUUUUGGUUAUUUACUUUAAAGUAAUACUGUUUACAUUUUAAAUGGUUUGGAAUUA